GACGAACGCUGGCGGCGUGCCUAAUACAUGCAAGUCGAACGCAGUGGGGACGGGUGAGUAACACGUGGGUAACCUCCCAUCAGAAGGGAUAAAACUUGGCCACAGGUGCUAAACCGUUAGUGGUGGAUGGACCCGCGGUGCCUUAGCUAGUUGGUGAGGUAACGGCUCACCAGGGCCACGAUGCAUAGCCGACCUGAGAGAGUAACCGGCAACACUGGGACUGAUACACUGCCCAGACUCCUACGGGAGGCAUCAGUAGGGAAUCUUCGGCAAUGGACGAAAUUCUGACCGGGCAACGCCGCGUGAGUGAAGAAGGUUUUCGGAUCGUAAAACUCUGUUGUUAGAUAAGCGGUAUCUAACCAGAAAGCCACGGCUAACUACGUGCCAGCAGCCGCGGUAAUAC
rnacentral:rRNA from 1 species